GACGAACGCUGGCGGCGUGCUUAACACAUGCAAGUCGAACGGUGAAGGGGCCCGCUUUUGUGGGCCCUGGAUGAGGGGCGAACGGGUGAGUAACACGUGAGCAACCUGCCCCCUUCUUCUGGAUAACCGCAUGUAAGUCUGGCUAAUACGGGGUAUUCCGGGUCUGUCGCAUGGUGGGUCUGGGAAAGAUUGCGCCUUUGGGUGCUUUUGGGGGUGGAUGGGCUCGCGGGCUAUCAGCUUGCUGGGGGGGUGAUGGCCUACCAGGGCGGGGACGGGUAAGCCGCCGGCGGGGAUGGGCGGUCACACGGGGACUGGGCCACGGCGCAGACUCCUACGGGCGGGAGCAGUGGGGGAGAUUGCAGAAGGGGCGAAUGCCUGAUGGGGCGACGCCGCGUGCAGGAUGGCGGCGUUCGGGAUGUAGGCCUCUUUCGCGAGUGAAGCAGGCCUGCUCGAUGUGGGUGGAUUGACGGUAGCUGGAUAAGAAGCGCCGGCUAACUACGUG
rnacentral:rRNA from 1 species